GAUGAAGAACGUAGCGAAAUGCGAUAAGUAAUGUGAAUUGCAGAAUUCAGUGAAUCAUCGAAUCUUUGAACGCACAUUGCGCCCGGCAGUACUCUGCCGGGCAUGUCUGUUCGAGCGUCAUUUCAACCCUCAAGCCCUGCUUGGUGUUGGGGUCCCACGGCCGCCGUGGGCCCUGAAAGGAAGUGGCGGGCUCGCUACAACUCCGAGCGUAGUAAUUCAUUAUCUCGCUUAGGGCGUUGGGCGGCGCUCCUGCCGUUAAAGAACCAUCUUUAACUCAAGGUUGACCUCGGAUCAGGUAGGAAUACCCGCUGAACUUAAGCAUAUCAAUAAGCGGAGGA
rnacentral:misc_RNA from 1 species